UUAUUUGGCUUUUUUGAUUUUUGAUUGACAUUUAGAUUAGUCUUGGAUUAUUUCUAAGAAAAAAUCCAAAUCCAUUUUAUAACCAAAACACCCAUUUCAUAAACCAAGGUCUCACCAUUCUUGUUCUUUACAAUCACUUCAAUCAAGUUCAAACUAUAACCAUAACCUUACCAUUCAUUCAAACUUUCAAACCUUCAUUCAAUAUAUCCAAUUCCAUUCAAUACAAUUCAAUGAACAUUCAUUACAUAAUCCCAAGUCACAGUUACAUGUGGGAUCCUAUUACAUAAACCAUUUCAAUUCACAUGUUCAAAACCACUGCUCAAUUCCAAAGUUACAAACAAUUUCACACAUAUUACAUAAACCAUUCAAAUU
rnacentral:lncRNA from 1 species